AAAUUUCUGUUAUAUUUUAUUUUUUUAUUUUUUUAUUUUUAUUUAUUUAUUUAUUUAUUUUUUUUUCGUUCUUUCGUUUUUUUUUUGUUUUUUUUUGUUUCUUUUUUAAACACGUGGGCUUCGCCUAACGAGCAUGACAGUUCAAGAAAUUCCUCUGAGCGUAGGUGAUUCUGGUGGCUUUUCUUGGGACUCGCUAGGCGACCAUUCUGCUCGCCUAGCGAGCAUGACAGCUCAUGAACAAACUUUUG
rnacentral:lncRNA from 1 species